rnacentral:rRNA from 1 species
UGAGUAACGCGUGGGUAACCUACCCCAAAGUCCGGGAUAACAGCGGGAAACCGCUGCUAAUACCGGAUGCCUUUACCUUGGGGCAUCUUGAGGUAAAGAAAGGUAACGCUUUGGGAUGGGCCCGCGUCCCAUUAGCUAGUUGGUGAGGUAACGGCUCACCAAGGCGACGAUGGGUAGCCGGCCUGAGAGGGUGGACGGCCACACUGGGACUGAGACACGGCCCAGACUCCUACGGGAGGCAGCAGUAGGGAAUAUUGCGCAAUGGACGGAAGUCUGACGCAGCGACGCCGCGUGAGCGAUGAAGGUCUUCGGAUCGUAAAGCUCUGUCCUUGGGGAAGAAGGCGAAAGCUUGACGGUACCCAAGAAGAAAGCCCCGGCUAACUACGUGCCAGCAGCCGCGGUAAUACGUAGGGGGCGAGCGUUGUCCCGGAAUUACUGGGCGUAAAGGGUGCGUAGGCGGCCCUUUAAGUCGGAUGUGAA